GACCCGACGGCGCGCGACGCCGCCGGCCAGCCACCCUACGACGUGUCGGCGGACCGGCCCGUGCGCAACGAGUUCCGACGCUUCCGCGCCGUCCCAGCCGGAGCGACAUAACUACGCCAAGGCACAUAUACCGGCUCCAUUGACGGCAGAAGAAGAGGAGGACAAAAAACAGCGGGAUGCUGAAAAGAAGCGAUUACAGAAUCAAAAACGGAAAGAGAAGAAAGCUCAACGGAAAGUAGAAGAGGAAGCAAGAAAAGAAGAAGAGCAUAGGAAAGCACAAGAACAAGCAGAGCGACAGCGAUUCCUCAAUCUCUCGGACAGGGAAAAGCGGGCAGAGGCGGCUGAACGGCGCAUGCGCCAACAGGCGGCGCAGGCGGCGGCCCGCUGCUACCAGUGCGCCGCACCGCUGAACGGCCGCGUCCCGUUCCAGUAUUCGGACAACGAGUUCUGCUCGACGGGCUGUGUAAAGCAGCACCGCACCGCCAGCCGCGGGCUCCGCAGCGGCGUGACCGGCAGCGAGGUGGCCGGUCUCGCGCAUCAUCGCCGCCAUCGCCAUUGCUAUUGGUUUUGUUUUGAGGCGUGUUUGCCGUCGGGUUGAAGUGGGCGGCGUUGCCAUGGCAGCUGUCUGUUUUCCGAUUGACCUCUUGGCAAGUUUUUAAGGUGCCGAAUAUUUUGCUGUUGCUCUCAGACAGUGGCGUUUGAUUUUAAUUAUGCGUUCAGGACCUUCGUGCCUUGAAUGGGGUUUCAUGGUUGGGGUGUGGUUGUAAUUUACCUGUGCUGUGUACCUCAGGUAACAAAACUCGAGUGGUAUGGAGUGCAGCAUUUACGUUCACACAACUUGAUUUUGAUCGCCUGCCCAAUGUUGUAAGCCUGUCGAUACGUCCAAACUUUUACGGACACGCCUUUGAGAAUCAGCAUCCAUUUUGCGAAUAAUGCAACUCAGCAAGUGGACAACUUCACGCCGUGAGGCCGGUAGCCGGAGCCGGCGUCGCUGGACCGACUGGUGCAUUAAGUCUGGGUGUUCUAGUGUUCGGGGCUAGUGUCUUGACCCCUCUUUUGCAGCAUUUACGAAUUACGAGUGCGACCUUUGGUUUCCAUAAUUGUUUUCCCCAAAACGUUAAAAUGGCCCGUAUGUGGCAUAUGCAACACAGUCAGGGUCUGAAAGAGCCAAGCGACAAUUGUGAUGUCGACCAUCUUGUCUCGCUCUAGGAAGGAUCCAACGUCUUUUCACAUCAGAAUAAAUCCUUCCUAGCCUCAUUCGGAACAACGCGGCGCGUUCGCGCCACACGGUUGGCUUAAAUGAUUGCUUGUUCAUAUAUAACAGACUCCACAGGAAUAUUCCCAGCCCAGCCCAUGUUUCGUGAUGCCGGAAAGGUUUACAGUACACCGCGUAUUUUGUCCUUGCCUGUCCAUUAUAGCUGGAUGUGCACCAAGGAAGACGAACUCCCUUUCAACGUCCACCCAGAGUGUGCUAUGUGGCACUCCUAUGGCUGAACCACGAGACACGUUUAAUACUUAUUUUUGAAAGUGCUGACAACGGCGGGACUACGGUGCUGAUGUAACUAGGAAUGUUUCAAAAUGACACCUCGGUGAAGGUUAGAACAUGGAGGACAUUGUCUGCCUUGUGAAGGCAGAAGCGCUGUCGUACAAACGCACAGUGCUUAUGCGCGGGUUCGCAUACAUAGUGUACUGUUUGUGCAAAUUAUCCUGAAUACAAUAUUUAUCAAU